AGUGAACGCUGGCGGUAGACCUAACACAUGCAAGUCGAACGGCAGCACAGUAAUAGCUUGCUCUUACGGGUGGCGAGUGGCGGACGGGUGAGGAAUACAUCGGAAUCUACUUUUUCGUGGGGGAUAACGUAGGGAAACUUACGCUAUUACUGCAUACGACCUACGGGUGAAAGCAUGGGAUCUUCGGCUCUUGCGCGAUUGAAUGAGCCGAUGUCGGAUUAGCUAGUUGGCGGGGUAAAGGCCCACCAAGGCGACGAUCCGUAGCUGGUCUGAGAGGAUGAUCAGCCACACUGGAACUGAGACACGGUCCAGACUCCUACGGGAGGCAGCAGUGGGGAAUAUUGGACAAUGGGCGAAAGCCUGAUCCAGCCAUACCGCGUGGGUGAAGAAGGCCUUCGGGUUGUAAAGCCCUUUUGUUGGGAAAGAAAAGCAGCAGGUUAAUACCCCGCUGUUCUGACGGUACCAAAAGAAUAAGCACCGGCUAACUUCGUG
rnacentral:rRNA from 1 species